UGGGGAAUAUUGGACAAUGGGGGGAACCCUGAUCCAGCCAUGCCGCGUGUGUGAAGAAGGCCUUAUGGUUGUAAAGCACUUUAAGCGAGGAGGAGGGUACUGGUAUUAAUACUACCAGGUACUGGACGUUACUCGCAGAAUAAGCACCGGCUAACUCUGUGCCAGCAGCCGCGGUAAUACAGAGGGUGCGAGCGUUAAUCGGAUUUACUGGGCGUAAAGCGUGCGUAGGCGGCUAAUUGAGUCGGAUGUGAAAUCCCCGAGCUUAACUUGGGAAUUGCAUUCGAUACUGGUCAGCUAGAGUAUGGGAGAGGAUGGUAGAAUUCCAGGUGUAGCGGUGAAAUGCGUAGAGAUCUGGAGGAAUACCGAUGGCGAAGGCAGCCAUCUGGCCUAAUACUGACGCUGAGGUAAGAAAGCAUGGGGAGCAAACAGG
rnacentral:rRNA from 1 species